AAACAUUUUUAUUAAAUUUAUUAAUAAUAAAAUCUGCUCAAUGAAAUUAAAUAGCCGCAAUAUGUGCUAAGGUAGUAUAAUAAUUUGUCUUUUAAUUAAAGACCAAACAAAAGAUUAAACAUUUUAAUUAAUAUAAAAAUUUAAACAUUAAAAUUAUUUUAAUUUUUAUAAAAAAAUUAUUUUUAAAAAAGACGACAAGACCCUAUUGAACUUUAACUUUAGUUAAACUGGGGCAGUUAUAUAAAUAUAUUUUUUCUAUUUUAUAAAAAAUAUAAAGAUCUAGUAAAACUACUUAAUAAACCAAGUUACCAUAGGGAUAACAGCAUAAUAAUUUUGAAAAGUUCUUAUUUAUAAAAUAGAUUAUGACCUCGAUGUUGAAUUAAUAUACUUAUUCAUGCAAUAAUGAAUAAAGAAAGUCUGUUCGACUUUUAAAUCAUUACAUGAUCUG
rnacentral:rRNA from 1 species